AUGACUGCAAAUGAACAUAUUCACAUACAUUACAAAGAUGAACCAGCAUCAACAACAUAGUUGAUGGCGGCAGCAGCAGCUGGGGUCCUAUUGUACACAGAAAAUAGCUACAGAUGGCAGAAGUUGCAUACUCAAAUGUGAAGAAAGGUCAUAGAAAAUUUGGUUGUGAACUGAAGAUAUUUGCUUCACCCAUCAAGGGCUUUGACUACUUCUUGUGCCUUUAGAUAAGUCAAAGAUUUUUCCAUUUCAGUGGGGCAGCAGCAGUGUCAACUCAGUGGGAGCCAUGGCAAAUAUGAUGCUGACACUGCCUGUUGCUGGAGUGAGCAAUACCUGACCGUACACUGAGCAUUUAAAUGGGAGAAAACUUCAUGGCCAGAUGUGAUGCCAGGCACAGCAAACGCUUGUUGAAUGAGCUCUUUGCGGCUUUGGAAGGAUUAAGGAGAGGCAACGCUGGGUGUGAGAUCUCUCCCUCCAAAUACAAACAUGCCGUGUAAAAGCGGAUGCUUUUAGCAGCAGUCCCUGCCCACCCUUUCUCUCGCUGGCUCGCACGCCCGCGCAGCACUUUCAGGUCUGUCUCACAGCACCAGGUGCUUGAAGUGACACGUACUCUUAGGCUGAAUCUUUAGCCUUUCUAUUCUGAGCUCUCAAUUCCACACUCACAGAAGCUGCCAGAACCCAAACUUGUCAAGCAGCAGCUAAU